rnacentral:misc_RNA from 1 species
UCUCCGUUGGUGAACCAGCGGAGGGAUCAUUAUAGAGUUUUCUAAACUCCCAACCCUUUGUGAACAUACCUUUUUGUUGCUUCGGCGGGAUCGCCCCGGCUGCCCUGAGCGCCGGAACCAGGCCCCCGCCGCAAGACCUUAAACUCUGUUUUAUUAUAGUUGUUUACUCUGAGUAGCUUCUAAAGCAAAGAAAUAAAUCAAAACUUUCAACAACGGAUCUCUUGGUUCUGGCAUCGAUGAAGAACGCAGC